ensembl:snoRNA SNORD12C small nucleolar RNA, C/D box 12C
GCUGGUGUACAUGAUGACCUCACUUUUUUCCCCGUCAGAUCGGCCAUGCUGAGGUCUCAGAACGCUUGCCAGUUGAUUCUGAUACGCCAGC